rnacentral:rRNA from 1 species
AGCAGCAGGCGCGAAAACUCUACAAUGCAGGCAACUGCGAUAGGUGAACAUCGAGUGGCACCCACCAUGGGUGUCUGUCCAGCCGUCUUAUAAACGGCUGUUAGCAAGGGCCGGGUAAGACCGGUGCCAGCCGCCGCGGUAAUACCGGCGGCUCGAGUGGUAGCCGAUAUUAUUGAGUCUAAAGGGUCCGUAGCCGGCUUUGCAAGUCCCCUGGGAAAUCCAGCGGCUUAACCGUUGGGCUUCCAUGGGAUACUACAUUGCUUGGGACUGGGAGAGGUAGGAGGUACUCAGGGGGUAGGGGUGAAAUCCUGUAAUCCUCUGGGGAUCACCGGUGGCGAAGGCGUCCUACCAGAACAGGUCCGACGGUGAGGGACGAAAGCUAGGGGCACGAACCGGAUUAGAUACCCGGGUAGUCCUAGCCGUAAACGAUGCUCGCUAGGUGUCACGGCAGUCGUGAAUUGUCGUGGUGCCGUAGGGAAGCCGUGAAGCGAGCCACUUGGGAAGUACGACCGCAAGGUUGAAACUUAAAGGAAUUGGCGGGGGA